rnacentral:rRNA from 1 species
AUUGAACGCUGGCGGCAUGCUUUACACAUGCAAGUCGGACGAGUGGCGAACGGGUGAGUAACGCAUCGGAACGUACCGGGUAGUGGGGGAUAACUGUCCGAAAGGACAGCUAAUACCGCAUAUUAUUCGAGCGGCCGAUGUUUGAUUAGCUGGUUGGUGGGGUAAAGGCUCACCAAGGCGACGAUCCGUAGCGGGUCUGAGAGGAUGAUCAGCCAAACUGGGACUUGGACACGGUCCAGACUCCUACGGGAGGCAGCAGUGGGGAAUUUUGGACAAUGGGCGCAAGCCUGAUCCAGCCAUGCCGCGUGUCUGAAGAAGGCCUUCGGGUUGUAAAGGACUUUUGUCAGGGAAGCGUUACCUGAAGAAGAAACACCGGCUAACUACGUGCCAGCAGCCGCGGUAAUUC